GUAUCCGAUCUGUAGGAGUCAUCCACACAAGCCCACGAAUCACGAGCAGAAGUCUUGAUCCAGGAAAUCAGCACAGUAUGCUAGUACUGUGCUGAUCCUUCUUCGAUAGUCGAUCAGAUGCCUCUUUAUUCUUGAUUUAGAUUCUUCCAAAAAUGAAAAGUAGGAAAAGAAGUUUUAGAUGUGAGACACUCUCAUAAAACUCAC
rnacentral:lncRNA from 1 species